CUCGGAGUUUGAUCCUGGCUCAGAUUGAACGCUGGCGGAAUGCUUUACAUACGCAAGUCGAACGGUAGAGGGGGCAACCCCUCGAGAGUGGCGAACGGGUGAGUAAUAUAUCGGAACGUGCCCAGUCGUGGGGGAUAACGUAGCGAAAGUUACGCUAAUACCGCAUACGAUCUACGGAUGAAAGCGGGGGACUCGCAAGACCUCGCGCGAUUGGAGCGGCCGAUAUCAGAUUAGGUAGUUGGUGGGGUAAAGGCUCACCAAGCCAACGAUCUGUAGCUGGUCUGAGAGGACGACCAGCCACACUGGAACUGAGACACGGUCCAGACUCCUACGGGAGCAGCAGUGGGGAAUUUGGACAAUGGACGCAAGUCUGAUCCAGCCAUUCCCGCGUGCAGGACGAAGGUCCUU
rnacentral:rRNA from 1 species